GUCAUCGGCUCUUCCUUCUUCCGUUGCCGAGCACAGGACGGUGCUGCCGCGUGGCUACCGCAGGCUGAGCACCGCCCACGCCGGCCAAUGGGGUCGCCAGGAUCCCGAGCCUUAUCCUCCCCUCUCUCCCCGCUCCCUCAUCUCCCCGCUAAACCUCGCCACAGAACAAGCGAGCGCAGCACAGAGCCAUCACAGAGAGAGACCGAUGCGCCGCCACCAAAUCCAGCUGUGCCAAGGGCAAAUCCGACGAACCGAGAAGGGGAAAGUGAGGUGGGAGGUCCAACGAAGCUCCUCCGACGAGUUCCGGCCCGCAUCCCACCGUCUCUCCACCGAAUUUGGGCGCUCUGCUUGUUUCUUCCUCCGCUCUGGCGGGAUUCCGCAAUCUCAUCGAUGACACCACACUGCUGAGCGCCUCCGACCAAAUCCGUAGCACGGUGAACAUCACCAGCCUUCGUCCAAGGUCUCGCGCGCGCUCCAUCCUCUUCGGCCCGGCGCCGGCGCGUCUCCCCUCACGGACCGAGCGCCGCCAGGCCAAGGUGCUUGCCGCCGGCACCUUUCCGACCGAGCCCAUCCGCCCAGUACCCCUUCACCACGUUCGCCGUUGUGCGCUGGAGCUAUCAGUGCUGAUACCUCAUCCUUUCGUCGCCGGGUUCGUUGCCGGUGAGCUGUGCCGCCGAGUUCGUGCACGCUCGCCGGCAGGAGGUCUGCCGGUAAAGCUGUUGACCAGGCCACAGGGCCAUGGCCCCACUGUUCAAUCUCCUUCGCAAGCAAGGAAUCGGUGUUAAAAGCCCUGCACUGUGUUUAUUUCGUUUAAAACCGAAAAAAUGUGAAAAUGAUUAUUUGUUCUAUUGCUUAAUUGGCUGAAGCAAUGUAAAAUGCACAGAGAAUUCUUUGUAGCUCCAAAAAUGGCAAAGUAAAUUUUGUUAGCUUUAUAUGUUCAUAGUUUACUUGAUUUAAAUAUGUUAAAUUUUGUUUAAAUCAGUAUUAAUUCAUGGUAAGUCUAAAAUUGGUAAAUACAGUUCUAAUAAGCUUUAUAAUUAGAGUACUUUCUAGAAAAUUAUUGGUCAGCAUGCUAGAGGAGUUUGUCCCAUUAUUUUAGCACAUGUGUGGUCUCACAUUGUUAACUUCUAAAAUUUGUGCAGAAAUUAAUAAAAAAUGAUUUAGUAGUGAUACCACUUCUAAAAAUCAUUAUUUGUCUACCCCUACAGAUGAAUAAUGGUGAAUGGCAUAUUAGGUGUUGUCUUGACAUCAACUUUGUUUAAAUGCACAUCUUUUAUUUUGUUUAAGCAUUCUAGAUAGCACCUCCCAUAUUUGGUUAUAUCAUGAGCUUAUAUGCAUUACUUCACGUAAUUCUUGUUCUAUCAUGUUCUUUUCUUAGUGCACUACUUUCAUAUGCAUUUUUAUAGCAUUUGAAUCACUUCACAUUGCAUUUUAUUCAUACUCAUUGCAUUGAACACACUCUUUCUUUAGAGAACGAAGAGUCAGAGAGCGACAUGGGUGUGAUCAAAGGCAUGUAUGAGUUAGUCCAUGGCUACUUCGUACCCACCGAUGUCAGUGACGGGCAAGAGUAGCGGUGUGCUACUUGUGAUUACUUUGGUGGUGCCUUAGAGCAAAUGACACCACCUGUUUUGUUAUUUUAGAUAUUAUUUCUGUUGCGUAUUGAUAUUACCUUGCUAGGAUAUAAAAUUGUUGUAUUUUGCUUAUUAUAGCGCUUGUUGAUGUCAUGUUGAGAGUCAGAACUUGUUUAUUAGACUCUCAUCUUUCAAUUUCAGUAUGCAAUACUUUUAAAUUGUUAAGCUUGUAAUGCUUUAAAAACUUGUAAUCUAUUUAAAUUGCUCACUCUUUAUUAUAUCUUGA